GGGACGUCUCCAGCAGAGAAGGGAAAGAAAAAACAUAUUAAAAAUUGAAAAACUCAGCAGCUCCGUUCCGCCGGCCCUCCACCAUUGGUUUCUCUCUCAUCUCUUCCCCCACUCUACUUCUUUCUUUUCUCUGGUGAACUUGGACCAUUGCCGACAGCACCCACCAGUGUCCUUCGGCGAUAUCCAAGGUCUCCCCAAUGGCAGUGCACAGCGACAGGAGGCAGGGAGAGAGAGAGGAAAAAGAGAGAAAAUUUUCUCCAUCCAAAAUUCGGCCGUUCUGACCAUGGUCCGAUAACACCAUCAGCCCCAAUCAACUCCCCUCCACCUGGUGAAGCUUUUUCAACCAACCUCAUCGCCGGCAGCCAUCAGAUUCAUACAAAAUGAGAAGAGAGAAAAUAAAUAUUUUUUAAGUUUUUCGAUCACUUUUUUAGCGAUCCAACCAUCUGAUUGAAAAUCCAAAAUGACUGAUGAACUCAGCGCGAUGAAACAUAUAAAAUGGGACUAACCCCG
rnacentral:misc_RNA from 1 species